UGCGCUGGGUUUCCAACACGAGCAAAAAAGGAGAGAUCGAAAUUGUUAUUUGGAAAUAGAUCCAUCACUUGCAAAGAAAGGAGACUACGAAAUAAGUCCAUAUAUUGACACUUCAUUUUCCCUACGACUGGACAAGUUUUAUGCAUUAUAAGAAAGGUCCCACAUUUAAGCUUCGUAGAGAGUUUUAUGAUCACCAGCAAGAUCAACUUGGGCAAUACGAACAACUCAGCAAAAUGGACGUUAUAAAACUGAAAUACUACUACUGUGGGGGCCCACAUUAUUGUACUACAUAUCCUGAUGAAUGUAAGAGACGAAAGGAUUUUGUAAGAACCAUGUACUGUUCCUUUUAACGAGUACAAUUUCUUUACCUUUACAUAAUAAAGGACUAUAUUGGAA